AGAAAGGGAAAGCUACCGACCUUCCUUUGGAGAGUUCAGAACUGCUUCUUUGAAAAGUAAAGCUUUUCGCGGAGCGUGGAGGUGCACACCUCACACCUAUCAUCAUGGCGCUUGGGAAACAGAGGCAGGAGGAUCACUAUGGAAGAGGAUAGAGGUACAGUUGACCUGUUUGGAAGAGAUUCAAAUAAAUGAUUUACUCCCAGUCCCAUACAUCUGGGAGCUCAGUACCUUGUCCACGCUGUCGUUUCUCUACUUGUAUAAGGUCAGAUCAAGCCUCCUCCCCAAGGAAGCCUCCCCAAAUGGUUUGCACACUAAAAAAUGCAGAGCGGAGGAGUUUUUGUAGAAGGUUGUGUUUAAGAUCAGAGGAGAAACAGGCUGGAUCCAGAAGAAAGCCGUUGGCGAAAUUCCACCUUGUUGAUUAAGAAAACAUUACUGGGUGGCUAUUUUGUGCUAUUGAGGCUGCGGUGAAGCAUGAGACCUGAUAUCAAGGACCUGGGGAUGGGAUGAACAGUCAGGUCCUGAUGUCAAACAAGACCCAGUCAUUCCCAGUUACUGUGGAGAACAAGUCUCACCAGGAAAAUUAAACAAUCCCAUGCCUAUUGUAAAAAAAGAUACUGUUCUGAAUGAUGGAAUAGACCUGGAGGAUGAGUCAAAAACUCCAGUAGGAAAUAGGAAAUGUACAUUUUGGCAGAUUUCUGUAAAUGAUCAAAGACUUUGGUCUAAGAGUGAGUAUAAAUGACAUUGUAAUUGAGGGAUUACAAGACACAGGUGUGGAUGUGACUAUUAUUACUU